CUUAGAGUUUGAUCCUGGCUCAGGAUGAACGCUGGCGGUAUGCUUAACACAUGCAAGUCGAACGGUGUCUUCGGACAUAGUGGCGGACGGGUGAGUAACGCGUGAGAAUCUAGCUUCAGGUCUGGGACAACCACUGGAAACGGUGGCUAAUACCGGAUGUGCCGGAAGGUGAAAGGCUUGCUGCCUGAAGAUGAGCUCGCGUCCGAUUAGCUAGUAGGUGGGGUAAGAGCCUACCUAGGCGACGAUCGGUAGCUGGUCUGAGAGGAUGACCAGCCACACUGGGACUGAGACACGGCCCAGACUCCUACGGGAGGCAGCAGUGGGGAAUUUUCCGCAAUGGGCGAAAGCCUGACGGAGCAAUACCGCGUGAGGGAGGAAGGCUCUUGGGUUGUAAACCUCUUUUCUCAGGGAAGAACACAAUGACGGUACCUGAGGAAUCAGCAUCGGCUAACUCCGUGCCAGCAGCCGCGGUAAUACGGAGGAUGCAAGCGUUAUCCGGAAUGAUUGGGCGUAAAGCGUCCGCAGGUGGCUGUGUAAGUCUGCUGUCAAAGAGCAAAGCUCAACUUUGUAAAGGCAGUGGAAACUACACGGCUAGAGUGCGUUCGGGGCAGAGGGAAUUCCUGGUGUAGCGGUGAAAUGCGUAGAGAUCAGGAAGAACACCGGUGGCGAAGGCGCUCUGCUAGGCCGCAACUGACACUGAGGGACGAAAGCUAGGGGAGCGAAUGGGAUUAGAUACCCCAGUAGUCCUAGCUGUAAACGAUGG
rnacentral:rRNA from 1 species